UCAUUGCCAAUAGAGUUCCAGCUGCCAGAGUCUUCGAUAAGAAAGAGGCAUCUGAGUAAACAGAAGUGAGAUCUUUCUAGUUCUUGAACUAGCCUUCCCCAGUUUGAAGUCAAGUGAGGAACUCUUUCUCUUAUAUAGGCUAUUUUUCCUUGAAAUCCCAUUCUAUCCAUCUUAUUCUUCUGUGUAAAUAAAGACUAGAAGGGCAUUCUCUUGCCUCAAUUCCUCUCUCACUCACGAUGAAAGCUAAGAGCUUUCUCGAAGACAGUCUUUACUUUUUAGUAGUAAUCUUUCCUAUCCUUUAGGCGGGGAGAGGUUCAUAGGAGGACUUGGUUACAUAUGAAGGAAAGGCUUAAACUAGAAGAGAUACGAAAGAGAAUUACACUAUAUCUUAGCAAUGGCACUCUAAUAAGCUCGGCAGGGAGAGAAAGAAGAGAAGGAGAAGAGAAAAUAUGACAAAAAGGGUAUGAAAUAGGUUACUUGUAGCGAUUUCUAUUUCUUAUUUGGUUGGGAUUACCAGCCUGACCAAAGAAUAAGAUAAAAAGAAGAGUUCCUACCUACGGCUACAUGUCCAUUAAGAGCUACACCUGGAGUCGAGCUAACUGCAUAGGCAUAGGGGAACUUUCCUAAAAAGCCUAAUAGCAAUUAACAGCAUUGGAAAUGAAGAAUCAUACUCUAAAAGGAGGUUCUCUUCUAAUAGAUGUCUGGAGGGAGCAAGGAGUGAUUGCUCUGUUAUCCUUCGACCGCCCCCUUUCCACCUCUAAGUAGUGGUGUUGGUGUGUCUCAUUGCAAUUAUUCUGGUCAAUCCCUUUCUAGAACCAUAGGUAAGGGAUGAUAGGAGAUGGCCCCUAUAGAAAAAUAAAUCAGCCCCUCAUUUAAGAGAGUAAAUAAAAUAGUGUCAGGCUUACAACAGUCUGACUUUUGAACGAUUAAGCAAUUACUAAGCUCCUGCCCACCCCCAACCAAUUAGGGUUAAGUGUUCAUUCAUACCUUCAACAUCACUGAGAUAUUGUCCCAUGACUAUGUUUACUUCAUCUUCAAGAGCAAGCAUCCUAGCUCCCAGGGCCUCAGGCAACCCUGGAUCCUUUCCUACUUCCUUAGUGAUUCCAAGAAGAUGCUUCAACCCCGUUAAGUUUUAGCUGGCUAUCACGGUCUAAUAAAUAUUUCUAAUUCCAUUUUGGAAUAUUUUCAUCUGGGAUUGGAAUGACCUAUGUUGUAAGGGAGGAGAGAAGGUGAACCAGCUUUCUUUGGUCGCCUCUCCCAUCUGGUCAAGUAGCUUUUACUCCUUCGUACUUACUUUACUAUAAUAUAAGAUUAAGCUUCUAUGUGGCCUAUUGGAAGAUUUUUUGUCAUAGUGGGAGCUUUCGAAAAUCACUAGCAGGUCAAGAUCAUAGGAAGAGGGAAGAACAAGGGAGAAGAUCUUAUUUAAAAGAAGGCGAUUUCAAAAGAAAGUCAAAACGAGGAAUAGGAUGCCUUAAAGGUAAAUAAGAAAGAUCCUAAAUAAAAAAUAAAAUACCUACUAAACCAAUUACAAGAAUACCAGUUACAGUACCUAUUAUCCAAAAAGGAAUCUUUCCAGUAGUGUCGGCCAUUUACCCCACUUCCCUCCAGAUUUCAUCAAGUGGUCAUGCUAGAGACAUAAACAGCCUUGGAUAAUUGAAUUAUGAGAUCCUUCCAAAUGGCCUAAGAGAAUCUUAUUUAUUCUCUUUCAUUUUGAUAAUUGAAGAAAUAAUUGGAAAAUAAAAAAGUAAGUACAAAAAUGAGUAAUAACCCCCAGCAGAGACUGGUUGAUGAAAUUCAAAAUUUCGUUCGUUCAAGUUUGAUUGUGUUGUAGCUCUAUAAUUAGGAUGUUAUUUAUCAUUAGAUGAACUGCUGAUAUUGAUCCCUAAAAAAAGACGGUAGGUACAGCCAGGCCGUGAACAGCCAACCAUGUACUCUAAAAAUUGGAUAGGUUCAUUUAUAGUCAUUAAGGCCUCCUAAAACGAUCUACUGAAUUCAUCUAGUUGUUCCAAAGGAUCAAACAGCCAGUUAUUAAUGGAAUUCCUUGUCGGGUAAGUUUUGGCCCGCACAAAAGGCGUAAAGAUCUGGGCACUGUCUCAGAGAGAGGCUCGGUGAAAUAGACAUGUCUGUGAAGAUGCAGACUACCUGCACCUGGACAAAAAGACCCUAUGAAGCUUUACUAUUCCCUAGGAUUGGCUUUGGGCCUUUCCAGCGUAGCUUAGGUAGAAAGCGAAGAAGGCCUCCUUUCGGGAGGACCCGAGCCAUCAGUGAGAUACCACUCUGGAAGGGCUAAAAUUCUAACCUUGUGUCAGGACCUACGGGCCAAGGAACAGUCUUAGGUAGACAGUUUCUAUGGGGUGUAGGCCUCCCAAAGAGUAAAGAAGGAAUGCAAAGGUUUCCUCAGGAUAGACGGAGAUUGGCCCUCGAGUCCAAAGGCAUAAGGGAGCUUGACUGCAAGACCCACCCAUCGAGCAGGGACAAAAGUCGGCUUUAGUGAUCUGACGGUACUGAGUGGAAGGGUUGUCGUUCAGUGGAUAAAAUUUACUCUAAGGAUAACAAUAUGAUCUUCAACCUAGAUCUCACAUCGAUGGGAAGGUUUGGCACCUCGAUGUCGGCUUUUCGCGACCUGGGGCUGCAGUAUGUUCCAAGGGUUGGGCUGUUCGCCCAUUAAAGCGGUACGUGAGAUGGGUUCAGAAUAUCGUGAGACAAUUUGAUCCAUAUCCAGUGUUGGAUUUAGAAUAUUGAGAGGACCUAUCCCUAGUACGAUAGGAUCGGGAAGGACGCACCUCUAGUGUACCAGUUAUCGUGCCCAUGGUAAAUGCUUGGUAGACAAGUGCAGAGAGGAUAACUGCUAAAAGCAUCUAAGUAGUAAGCCCACCCCAAGAUGAGUGCUCUCCUAUUUCAACUUCCCCAGAGCUUCCAGUAGCACAGCUGAGAUAGCAACGGGUUCUCUGCCCCAGCGGGGAUGGUGCUACAGAAGUUUUUUGAAAAUUCAAGAAAAGGUCACGGCGAUACGAGCCAUUUAUCAUUACGAUAGGUGUCAAGUGGAAGUGUAGUGAUGUAUGCAGCUAAGUCAUCCUAACAUACCAGUAGACUUGAAC
rnacentral:rRNA from 1 species